GUUUGGUUCUGGCUCAGGACGAACGCUGGCGGCGUGCCUAAUACAUGCAAGUCGAGCGAACAGAAGGGAGCUUGCUCCCGGAUGUUAGCGGCGGACGGGUGAGUAACACGUGGGUAACCUGCCUGUAAGACUGGGAUAACUCCGGGAAACCGGAGCUAAUACCGGAUAGUUCCUUGAACCGCAUGGUUCAAGGAUGAAAGACGGUUUCGGCUGUCACUUACAGAUGGACCCGCGGCGCAUUAGCUAGUUGGUGGGGUAAUGGCUCACCAAGGCGACGAUGCGUAGCCGACCUGAGAGGGUGAUCGGCCACACUGGGACUGAGACACGGCCCAGACUCCUACGGGAGGCAGCAGUAGGGAAUCUUCCGCAAUGGACGAAAGUCUGACGGAGCAACGCCGCGUGAGUGAUGAAGGUUUUCGGAUCGUAAAGCUCUGUUGUUAGGGAAGAACAAGUGCGAGAGUAACUGCUCGCACCUUGACGGUACCUAACCAGAAAGCCACGGCUAACUACGUGCCAGCAGCCGCGGUAAUACGUAGGUGGCAAGCGUUGUCCGGAAUUAUUGGGCGUAAAGGGCUCGCAGGCGGUUUCUUAAGUCUGAUGUGAAAGCCCCCGGCUCAACCGGGGAGGGUCAUUGGAAACUGGGAAACUUGAGUGCAGAAGAGGAGAGUGGAAUUCCACGUGUAGCGGUGAAAUGCGUAGAGAUGUGGAGGAACACCAGUGGCGAAGGCGACUCUCUGGUCUGUAACUGACGCUGAGGAGCGAAAGCGUGGGGAGCGAACAGGAUUAGAUACCCUGGUAGUCCACGCCGUAAACGAUGAGUGCUAAGUGUUAGGGGGUUUCCGCCCCUUAGUGCUGCAGCUAACGCAUUAAGCACUCCGCCUGGGGAGUACGGUCGCAAGACUGAAACUCAAAGGAAUUGACGGGGGCCCGCACAAGCGGUGGAGCAUGUGGUUUAAUUCGAAGCAACGCGAAGAACCUUACCAGGUCUUGACAUCCUCUGACAACCCUAGAGAUAGGGCUUUCCCUUCGGGGACAGAGUGACAGGUGGUGCAUGGUUGUCGUCAGCUCGUGUCGUGAGAUGUUGGGUUAAGUCCCGCAACGAGCGCAACCCUUGAUCUUAGUUGCCAGCAUUUAGUUGGGCACUCUAAGGUGACUGCCGGUGACAAACCGGAGGAAGGUGGGGGAUGACGUCAAAUCAUCAUGCCCCUUAUGACCUGGGCUACACACGUGCUACAAUGGACAGAACAAAGGGCUGCGAGACCGCAAGGUUUAGCCAAUCCCAUAAAUCUGUUCUCAGUUCGGAUCGCAGUCUGCAACUCGACUGCGUGAAGCUGGAAUCGCUAGUAAUCGCGGAUCAGCAUGCCGCGGGUGAAUACGUUCCCGGGCCUUGUACACACCGCCCGUCACACCACGAAGAGUUUGUAACACCCGAAGUCCGGUGAGGUAACCUUUAUGGAGCCAGCCGCCGAAGGUGGGACAGAUGAUUGGGUG
rnacentral:rRNA from 1 species